AUGGCUGAGCUCGCGUCUGGCGCCGUGAGCUCGCUGCUGGGCCUCCUCCGGAACGAGGCGCUGCUGCUGAGCCGCGUCGGCAGCGACUCGGAGUUCAUCAAGGAGGAGAUGGAGAGCAUGCACAGCUUCCUGGAACACCUGGCCAGGACCGCACCUCCUGCUGGCAGCGGCGGGCACGACGAGCAGGUGCGCACGUGGAUGAAGCAGGUCCGUGACCUGGCCCAUGAUUGCAGCAACUGCAUCGACCUCUACCUCCGGCGCGGUGACCCCGCAGUCUACCGUGCCAGGGCCGGCCGCUGGCGCUACCUCUGGUGGGCUUCCUGGUUGGUGCAGAGGAUGGUCACCCAGCACAAUGCGGCCAUCCGGCUGCGCGAGCUGAAGGAGCGGGCGCGUGACGUCGGCAAGCGGCGGUUGCGGUACGGUGUGGAGAUCCCGCGGAAGGAAGCAGCGCCAACUUUGCCGUCGUCGUCUCAAGCUGCCGCUACACAAGACAAGGAGGAAGAGGAGGAUGAUGACGACGAUCAGAAUCAAGCGACCGACGGUUCUUAUACCCGUCAAAGAGCUCUAGAACCUCGCCUUCUUGAAGAGUACUGCACCGAGAAGCUAGCCAACUGGCUGGAAACCAACGAGGGUGAAUCCAUAACAUCAAUUGCCCUUGUUGUGCCGGAUGAUAUGCAGGACGCUGGUGCCAUUGCACGCGACUCUUUGACUUCGCCAACCGCCAACUUCAUGUGCAAGGUCGUCAAUCUCUCGGCAUUGCACCUCCCAUGGGAUCUUCCGCUGUUACCCAGUGAGAUCCUCUGCUACAUCUUGCGUGAAUGUAAGCAGCAUCAAGGCACGGAACAAGGCGAGCUGAACGUGCCAGAGGGAGAUCUUCGGGAGAAAGUUUGCCGUUACAAAAAUGAACUCCUGGAUGAAGUAUGGGACAUGAUUGGUUAUAGAGAAGUCGAUGAAAAGAUUGAAGAAAUCAGGAACAUGGUUGGAGAAGUUGAAGCGGGGAAGAUUGGAGGAGUUGAUAGAAAGAAGGUUGAAGAAAAUAUUUGCUUAGUCAUACUCCUCCAUGCCCUGCGGCUCAGGCAGAAGGCGCCUGACAUGGGUAUGCCACUAUCCUCCAAUCAGGCUAUAGAGGAAACUGCUUCCAGGCUGAAAGCUCAUAUGGAGACAGGCGAGUCCAAGCCCCAGAUUUGUCUCGAUGAUGCCCAGUACAAAGAUAUCCUGCACAACCUGUUCCUGACAAACAAGCCCCCACAGUCCCAGCAGGUCCAGGAAGCCACCAGCAGCGCUACUACAAUGAGCGUGGAUCACACCAAAGAAAUCAUCCACAACCACAAGAUUACUCUAGACAUCAUAUUGGGGCUGCUUCCCAAGCAACAGCUACCAGAAGGCACCUCUACUAAGGAACAAGUCACUGAUGCUGCUGCUUCUGUGAUCAAACAAAAGGAGAACUCCAAGGAGAUUGCAGGGGAGGUGACCAAUGCUGCUGCUGCUGCUGCCUCUGUUAUCAAAGAAACCAAGGAGAAAACGAAGGAGGUAUCAGAGGAGGUGAUCAGUGCUAUUGCUUCUGCUGUUAUCAAGGAAACCAAGUUGAAAAUGGAGACAUCAGGGGAGCUGGCCAGGGAUAUUGCUUCUGCCCUUGUCAAAGAAACCAAGGAGACUCAAGGAGCUAUCCACGGAGGUGACUAG
rnacentral:rRNA from 1 species